UCCUGAUUAACGGUUUGUGCAAAGAUGGUAAAAUUGAAGAGGCAAAAAAGCUUUUAAACGAACUUCCUUCCAAAGGGUUGAAACCUACGAACCGCAUAUAUUCUGUCAUUAUUCGUGCCCUUUGUGAAGAAGGGUUUCUAGACGAGGCAAAAGACUUGCUUAUAAAAAUGGAGAGAAGUUGCGCACCGGAUAGCAUGACAUACAACAUCAUUAUCCAUUGCUUGCUGAAGAAGAAAGAGGUUUACAAGGCAAUGCCAUUCUUAGAGGACAUGCACAAAAGGGGACUUUCAGCCGAUGCAGCUACUUCUUCCAUGUUAAUUAGUCUCUUGCAAGGAUCAAACGAAGAUGAUGUUCUUCUCGAAAUGAUUAAGAAAGUUGUACCGAAAAUAUAAAAUAACAUACACUUGCAAGAUAAUUUUAUCUUGAAAAACAAAACAAAAUGUCAAGAAAAUGAAUAAUGAAUGGUCAUGGUCAAAAUUAUGGGAUUAAGUUAGAUAUACCAUAAUCUGUGAAACUUAUCACUCAUAAUAUAAAACGUUUCAUAUGAUAAAAAAAAAUAGAUUAAUCUUCUUUUACUUUGUUUAUUCAUGUUUCCAAGUUUUACUAAUAAUUUGCACAAAAUCGUUUAGGGUUUCUUCCGAUAUGGCUUCAAUCGUAGAUUAUUCGAUAAACAUGAGUUGUUCGUGUAAAUUCUUCAUUUCUUUUGCUACAAAUUUUUCAAGUGUGUACAUUAUAGGGUAAAAUUAAUUUUGCACCCUUGUACUAUGCGAAAGGUAUAAUUUACCCCCUGAUGUAUAUAAAACAUCAAACGCCCCCUAUUUUUUACGGUCAAUAGUCAAACUUUUAACGGUGUUAUUUGAGCAUGAAAUGACUCUUUUACCCUGCUUUAUGUAUGAUAUAAUCCCUAAUUUUUGAAGGUUUAUUUUUCUGGAUUGUUAACGAUUUUUAGCAUUAAUUUAAAUUAGGAUUUUUUGUCGAUUUUAGUGUUUGAUUUUUAGGGGUUUCCAUUUUAUUUUUCGGGGGGUUUUGCCAUAAUAAUAUGAAUUUCAUUUGCAAUUCUUUCAUAAGGUUUUAUUUCAAUUUUAGGGUUUCUUUUAGAUUUCAGGUGUUUUCACUUUUCUUUUUUGUGGGUUUUGCAUUCAUGAUCCGCAAAGCUUCACUCCUAUUUAUUUGACUUUUCAGUUAUUUUAUGCAUAAAGAAAAAAAAGGACCGAAAAGAGCGAUGUGAAAAUGACCAAAACUAAGGAACCUAGACAUGGCCACGGGCCGGGUCUGACCCGGACCUGCCCCGGACCCGACCCGGUGACCGCCCCGCCCCGCCCCGUUAACCAUGGACCCGGACCCGGACCCGGAAAUGUAUGGGUCGGUUUCGGGUCCCGAUAUUUUGGACCCGAGACCCGACGGGUCCACCGACGGGUGGACCCGAGGACCCGGACCUGAGGACUCGACCCGACUACCCAUCGGGUCCACCUGAAUAAUUUUUUUUUUUUUUUCAAAUUUUGAAAAUGAAACGGCUAUAAACCGGACCCGAACCGGAUCCGACCCGGAUCCGGCCCGGACCCGGUCUGAGCAUUCAAUUUUUUUUUUUUUUUAAAUUAUAAUGGCUAGAAACUCGGGUCCACCCGGAACCGACCCGGACCCGACCCGGACCCGACCCGGACCCGACCCGAAAAUUCAAAUGUUUUAUUUUUUAUUUUAAAUUUCAACGGCUAGAAACUCGGGUCCACCCGGACCCGACCCGAAAAUAAUAAAAUUAAAUUAAAAAAAAAAAUCAAGAACCGGUUUUGGACCCGGACCCAGUCCGGACCCGGAAGGACUCGAGUGGACCCGACCCGGACCCGGACUCGCCUCCACGCGGGUCGGUUUCGGGUCCCGAAAAAGUAGGACCCGGACCUGGCGGGUCCGACCCGACCCGGCCCGUGGCCAUGUCUAAAGGAACCUAUAUAUAUAGAUUUUUUUGGGAUAUUUUCGUCAAAAGAAAGUCCACAACUCUUAGCAACACCCAUGUACUAUGUACUUUGUAUUAUAUAGCUCCUGCUGUUACCUUUUUUUUCCAAAAUCUGAUGAAAAUACCCCUACUAAAGCCUAUAAAUAUGAAGGUUUGUUUGAGCCAUUUUUCACUAUAUAUAUUUUAACAUUUUCGGUCAAUUUUACCUGGGAAAGUUUGGUAUUUUUAUUUCUUUUCGACAAAACAUCUAAUUGCCUAGAUUUUUUUUUUUCAUUUUCUGAAUAAAACCUUUUAUUGUUGUCAAUUUGAAUUUCUUUGUUUUUUUUCUUAAAUAUCUUUCGGUAGUUCAAAUUUUCAACAAUCAUAGGAUNNNNNNNNNNNNNNNNNNNNNNNNNNNNNNNNNNNNNNNNNNNNNNNNNNNNNNNNNNNNNNNNNNNNNNNNNNNNNNNNNNNNNNNNNNNNNNNNNNNNUUAUAUAUAUAUAUAUAUAUAUAUAUAUAUAUAUAUAUAUAUAUAUAUAUAUAUAUUAGCAGGGGUAUUUUCAGCACAUUUUGAGAAAAAAUGUAACAAUAGGGGGUUUUUGUAUUUAUGUUUAGUACAUAGUGGAUAUAUGAUACAAAGUUCACAAUAAAUGAGUGUUUUUGCAUUUAACCCUAAAACAUAAAUAACAAACAAUAUUCCACAUAGGCUGACAUACAUGGCUUCCUCAAUGAGUGAAAUAUUAUAUUUUUAGGCCUGAGGCCAUAUAUUAUAUUGUAUUUAUAUUAAUAAAUUUCAUUUGAGGAUUUUAGUCUACUUGCCCCAUGUUAUUUGUCCUUGUCAGACGUUAACAUUGUACCCACUUCUGGCCACAUGGUAUUCAUGUUUUAAUUAAUAAAAAAAUAUGUUGUUUUAAUUAAUAGUGCGUGACUCAUGUUUUAAUUAAAAAAUAUAUUGUUUCAAUAAUAGUCUGUCGCUGGACAUUUGAUAUUAGCUAAACAUCAAAAUCAAAAUUGAAUUAUCAAAUACUCAUUUGAUAAUUAAGAUAAUAUUUUAAUAUCCAUUAAUAGUUUAUCUACUCCAAGCAUGGUUAUCAAAAGUAAUAAUCAAUUGGAAGUUUUUUAGUGGUUUUAUUUGUAAUUGUCACAUGUUAUUUUGUGAUUGGAUAUUUAGGUGGUUAUUUUUUUGAUAACUCAAUUUUCAGAAUAUAUUUUUACAUGCAAAAAAGUAGAAUAUCAAAGUACAUACCCAUUUUGAUACUCCCAUUGGAGUAGAUUUUAAUUUUGGGAUAUAAAAAAAGUGGUUUAUGGAUUUGAUAAUCCAUUUGAUACCUCCCAUUGGAGUUACUCUUAGCUGCUCAUAAAAACCAUUCACAUGUAAUUCCCGAAAUCCAACUAAAAAAAUUGGCAUUAUAUAUAUAUAUAUAUAUAUAUAUAUAUAUAUAUAUAUAUAUAUAUAUAUAUAUAUAUAUAUAUAUAUAUAUAUAUAUAUAUAUAUGGUAAAUUACAACCACCCCUGAGGUAUGGUCAAAUCACAAAAACCCCUUCAUGUUAGGUAAUUACAACCACCCCUCAACUCUUUUUAUACGUCCACCCUUGCGGUUUCAAAUUUAGUGGAAUUUUCGAGAUUAUAAAGAAUAUUAUCACUUUUGUACCCGUUUUAUCCCAUUCAAACUCAACAUUUUGAAGCAAGAUGAUCGUAAUAUGUGUUUUUUGCCUUGUAUAUAUCAGAUUGUGGUGCAUCAGAAACUGUAUCUUUGCACAAAACAAUUACAAACUAGAGCUCAUUCUACGCAAUCUAGAUGAUUAUGUUGAAUUCGACACCAUAAGGGUGGAAGUGUAACAAAAAAUCAUAUAUAGUUGAGACCCUGAGGGUAUAUGUAAUUAUCCAAACAAGAGGAAUUUUUUCCUAAAUUGACCAUACCUAAGGAGUGGUUGUAAUUUACCCCAAUACAUGUAUAAAAGAGAUUACUGAUCACAAAGAUAUGUAAUAAUAUAACGAUGAAAGUUAAGGUUGUUAGGAGGAAGUUGAUAAAACCAUGUACCUCAACUCCUCCAAACCUUAACAAGUAUAAGUUGUCUUACAUGGAUGAGCGCAUCCCGCCGAUAAAUGUGGGUGUGAUUCUAUUUUAUCCUACAAAACAGAAAAUAAGGCAUCAAUUGGAAGAAUCUUUGGCCAAAAUCCUACCCGAAUUCUACCUUCUUGCCGGAAGGCACAUCACGAAUGACCACGUCGUCGAUUGCAGCGAUCAGGGUGCUGAGUUUGUAAAAGCAGAAGCCGUUGAUGUGGAUCUCACCGAUUUAUUGAAAAUCAAAGAAGCAGAGCUACUGAAUGAUUUCCUUCCAACCAAAUUCUACCAAGUCGACAAAUCUCCGACGGAUCCACUUCUGUCGAUCCAGAUCACGGAGUUGAUGUCGUGCGGUGCGCUUGUAAUAAGCGUCAGCGUUUGUCACAAGAUUUUCGAUGCGUCUUCUCUAGGGACAUUCGUUAUGGCCUGGUCCAAUUCCACCAAUGAUAAUAAUAAUAAUCAUCCAAUCGCGAUUUGCCCGAGUUUCGAGUCGCCGUUGUUGUUUCCAGGCACGAACCUGUCGCCUGUUAGGACAUCCUACGAUCCUAGUAUUGUUUUCAAGAGGUUUUCGUUCGGCAAGGAUGCGAUAGCAAGCCUGAGGAAGAAAUUAUCGCGAUUAGGGCCGCCAACGAGAAUCUCGAGAGUGCGUCUAGUGUGUGCGGUCAUGGCCAAGGCAUUGUUCGGCGUGGACCGGGCGAAGCACGAUGGAGGAGAGUCGAGAUCUUGCCUCGUGUCACAAGCGGUAAACAUGCGUGGGAGAACGAUCCAGCCUCUGCAAAACCACUCCUGCGGGAAUUUGGUAGUAUUCUCGCUCACGCCGUUCUUUAAUAUUAUUCCUCCGGCCGAAACAACAAACGGCGACGACGUUGUAAUUGGGAUUGAACAACUAGUCGGCAUUCUCGGUGAUUCUCUCGAAAGAACCAUUGCCGAUUGUGCUAAACCGUUUUCUCCGGGUUGGCACACCGUAAUGAUGGGCCCCGUCGCAGAUAUGUUUGCGAAACUAAGGAGUGGCGAGAUUAACUAUUCCAUCACAUUUAGCGAUUGGAGUAAGUUUGGAUUCUACGAAGCUGAUUUCGGGUGGGGGAAGCCUGUUGGGGCAGGGAUAGGGAUAAUGCCGCGUGAAAACAGCGUAAUACUAAUGGAUAACAAAGAGGGCGAUGGAAUUGAGGCAUGGGUGAAAUUGAAUCGCGAUGACAUGCCUCUCUUCGAGCAAGACGACGACAUCAAGUUAUAUACAACAUAAUGUCAUGAAACGAAUGAGAUAAUAUUCGUUUUUCCGUUUUCUCCUUCAGAAUUUUAAAAUUAAAUAAAUUCCACUGUAACGAUUUCGUUUAUGUUAAUGUUGUUAAAAUCUGUUCGAGUGUGCAAUGAUGCUGUAUAAUAUGUUAGAUUGAUUCGAGUAUGUAAUGAUUUCGAUCAAUUUGAUACUUUUCUAUGUGUAACAUGUUUUACUUAAUAAAACGAGGACACCUUUGCUAAUUUUUAUGAGGGUACUUGCUAGGAAGGUGCACGUGCAUUGCACGUGUCUUGAUUUUUUUUUAAUGUAACAAAUUAAAAAUGUGUUUAGAGAAGAAUUUAAAAAUAAAGUAAUGUUUGUUUUUAUUUUGAGGAGACACAAUUUAUACUGUGAUCAAAUCAUGUUUAAACUUAAACGUCUUGAAAAAAUGUAUUACGAAAGAAGAAUUUGAUAAAUAAAGUGAUUUUUUAUUUGUUUCUAAUUUUUACUAUAGCAGUCAAAUCAUGAUUGUAGCCUUGUAUGAGAUAAACAAUUUUAAUUUUCUUGGGAGAAUGUUUAUAAAAUUAAAAAAAGAAAAAAGAAAAAGAAAAAGAAAAGGAUAAUUUCAUUUUGGGGAAAAAGUGAAAAUAAUUUGGAACUCUAAUCAAACAAAUGCAAUCUUUAAAGGGAUAAUUAGCAAGAACCUCCCAUCUAGGAAAAUGAGUUAAGGAAACACCCUCUUCCGAAAAUAAUUAAAUAAAAUCCCCUUACCUAAUAUUCUACCCAAAUAUUAUUUCAUAAUUCCAAAUCUACCCUUAAUUGACAAUAUACUCUUUCAAAACCCUAAUUAUGUUUUACGCCGUUUUUUUCUUUCUUUUUCUCUUUUCAUCUCUUCCCACUCUCAUCUCUUUCUCUCUUUUUUUUUCCUUCUCUACAUGAUCUGAUCUGAGUGUUUGGUGGCGGUUCGACUAUGGGGCGAUGGUAGAAGGCGGCGCCAAGGCGGCGCGGGCGGAGGUUUGGCGAUUGGAGCUUCGAGGGGAGUCUCCACACCGGAGGAGAUGCGCACGUUCGUCUAUUUCUAAGAUUUACUCUUUAUUUAUGGUUUUGAUUUUCUGGAGUAGUGUUUGUUGCCGUUGUUUCUGCUUUAAAAUUUGAAAAUUGAAGAUCGGGAAUCUAACUACAGAUAGAAAUCUCAGAGUUGUACGGGGGCUGCAAAAUACACAUUCAAGGUAGUUUUGUUUCAUUCUACUUAUUUGUUAUGAAAUUUUUAAUCUAAUUUUGCUGCAUAUUUUUUGAUAUAGGUGGCUUUGUUUUGGUGAUUUUGAUCAUAGUACAUGGUUCUGUUUUGAUUGUUUGUAUAUAGGUGGGGUGGUGAUAGUGUGGUGUGGCGACGACGUGGUGACGAUGAAGAGCAGAUCUAGGGUUUUUUGGUGGAUUGUGGCGGAAGACGGUGCAUAAAAAGAAAUUCGCACAGGCAUGACCCUUAAUCGACUACAUGUGGUUUAAUCGACUAUGUUCAAUAGUCGAUUAAGACUUAAUCGACUAUGUUCAGUAGUCGAUUAAGGUUAACCGACUCCAGUUGUUAAUUUUUUUUUUUGAUUUUUUGUUUAUUGAUUCCAAUGUAUAAAUCAAUUAUAAUGUCUGUAUAUAUUUUUUUAAAUAUAGUUGAUUUUGCAUUUUUUUUGUAAUUGUGAUUUAUUAUUUUUAAUAAUUAAUUUUUUAAUCGACUAUGCAUUAAUAAACCCGGUAGAGAAAAAAAAAUUAAAAAAACCAAAAAAAAAAAUUAAAAACAAAAUUAGAAACAAAAAAUAUUAAAAAAUUAAAGAUUUUCGUUAAUCGACUAUGAAGCAUAGUCGAUUAAGGCUAAUCGACUAUGUGUUAAGUGUAUAUUUUUACACUUUAUCGUACCUUUUUAUUUGAGCUUUUGGUGUGUUUUAACGAUAAUUGGUGCUUAAAAAGUUGAUUUAUUGUAUUUUAGGUACAAAUUGAAGAAUUGGAAAAGUAUGGGGUCAAAACUGCAACUUUGGAGAAAAUAUGGGCCAAAAGUGAGAAAAUCAAAAUUCUGAAGAUUUAAAGCUCGGACCCCCGUCCGAGUUUUAGUUCAAAUUAUAGGACCCCCGUCUGAGAACCAGAAGCAUCUCUGGUUGUGAGACGGCCGUCCGAGUUUUAGUACAAAAUUCGGGACGGCCGUCCGAGAUGAUGAAAAAACGCAGUAAAGGAAUCCUAAUUGCACAAGGAAACUACCUUCUUCCCCAAGUUUUCCACCCUAUAUAAGACCAAGUCAAGCACACAAUUAGGGAUCCAUCUUUGGACGCAAAUUCAAGAGCAAAGAAGAUCAACGAAGAUUCUAGCAUAGUUUUUCUUAUUUAAUUUAUUUAUUUUAUUUUCCUUAUCAUAAGAAUUACGAGUAGCUAAGUCUUUAUUUCUUGGAUUUUAUUUGGAACCCUAUGUAGGAUUUAUGAACUCAAUUCUAUGAUUUUAUGCAAGUUUUAAUUCCGGAUUAUUUCUUCUACUUGUUUGAUUAAGUUCAUGAAACUGGCCACUUUAUGCACCUUUUAUGUUAUUGUUAAUCGCAUGAAUCGGAAGAUCGGGUUAAUAAUUAGAACUGUGGUAGAAGAGCCUUUGUGGUAUUAACAUAGGAAUAUAGUUAAUCUCUUAGGUAGCCAUUAUUGAGAUUUGUGCUUAAUGCUGUGUUCUAGAAUUAAUUGCAUAGGAAUAUAGUAAUUGAAUCUAGAGUAUUAAAAUCGUAAUACACGCGGAAGCGGGUUAUGAUUAAUUUAGCAUCUCAGGUUAAUAAUCCGGGUUAAUUGCUUGCAUAAUUGAAGGAAUUGGGGGAAUACUAAUCACAUAGGGGGAAGAAUAAAAUUCUAGGCUUGUUUACUCUGAUAAAUCUUCGUGUUUAAUUUGUUUUCUUGCUUUGUCUUUUUAAUUUGCUUUAAUUUAGUUAAUUCUCUCCAAAGUUGACUGUGUAGGGUGGGCUUGAUAAUAAUUGGUAGAAUUUAGCGUCUAGGAUUAAAUAAUUAAAUAUUCCCUGUGGGUUCGAUAUCCGGACUUUUAGUCCACUUUAUUACUUGUACGAUACGUGCACUUGCGUGUAGGUUUUCCGCCAACACUAUGCUUCAUAGUCGAUGAAGGAAACUGAUACAGAAAAGAAGGGGGAAAAAAAAUUCGCUGAGUGCGUGACCCAGCGAUGAUGUGGCGGGUGGGGGCAAAGCUGGAAAAUAUAAUAGCUCAAAAUGGGUGUGGACUUUUCUCAAAUGAACUGAAAUAUUUUGGACCUCUCUCCAUUAAAAAAAGUAAUGGGUGAGUUUCCUCAAAGAGCCCCAUUUUUAAAUAAUUUGGUGAGAAAUGGGAGGGUGGAAAGAAUUACAAUUUCAAUCUUCACUUUAUUCCAUAAAAAUAAACAAUACUCAAAAUAUACAAAUCGGUCCACUGGCUUAAAAAAAAAUGGAUUAUUUGACAAAACGUCCUCAUUAAAUAUGUGCAAUUAAGAUGAGUCCAAAAUAUUUUCCUAAUUUUAUGAUAAAUUCAAAAUAUUUUUUAAUUACCAUAAAUAAUUCAAUGUCGUUAUAAUACCAUUAGUCUAAACCAUCAAACUCUUAUUUUAUCUCGUUAUAAUACCAUUAGUCUAAACCAUCAAACACUUAUUUUAAUUCAAUGUCGUUAUAAUACCAUUAGUAAACCAUCAAACACUUAAAAAAAUGGAGUAUUUGACAAAACGCCCUCAUUAGAUAUGUGCAAUUAAGAUGGGCCCAAAAUAUUUUCCUAAUUUUAAGAUAAAUCCGAAAUAUUUUUUAAUUACCAUAAAUAAUUCAAUGUCGUUAUGAUACCAUUAGUCUAAACCAUCAAACACUUAUUUUACCUCACUUUCUAUUUCUCGACAUCCCCAACUCUUUCCUCCCCCAUCCCUCCUCACGCUCACGCUCAUUUUUUUUUUUUUUCAACAAUAAAUUUGACAAAUGCAAUACAAUUUUGACAAAAUUUAAAACAUCAAAUUUGUAAUCCCUUUGCUUUCGAAUCCAACUUGGAUUAGACAAAUUUGAUAUGGGAUAAUAGAUUUAUGUGCCACAAAAAUAAUAAAUCAACUUUAAACUUGCUUUUGACCCCUCUUAAUAUUAAAUGUUUUCUAACCUAACUUAGAUUUAUCCAAAAUAGUUAUUUUAUAUGUUCUAAAAACAUAAAAUAAAUAGGGCUUGUUUGUUUGUACCGGAAUUGAAAGCACUUCUCGCACAACUGAAAGCUAGCUUCUUCUCUACCACUUGAUUUCGCAGCUGAUUUCUCGUCAACAAAAUCUAUGAGGAUGAGGAGUUCUGGAGUAGCUUUUGUUUGUAGAGUAAUUACUUCUAAAUCUUCUCAUCAAUACUCAUACCCUACUUUUACUUCUUCUUUCUCUCUCCUCUGUUUCGAUUUUCACAAAAAUAGGCCCUUUUCAACUUUGCCCAGAAAAGAUUAUGAAUUAGAUGAUACUGUUUUCUUGAUUCGUAAAAUGAUGAGAAUGCGGCCACACCCUUAUGCCUCUGAAUUUAACAAACUAUUGCAAGUUAUUGCCAAGAAGAAACAAUACCCAGUUGCCCUUUAUGUGUUCGACGAAAUGCGUCAAUGGGGUGCCUCUGUGAAUGAGUACACGAUGAACAUCUUGGUUAACUGUUGUUCCCUUUCGAAACGUGUAGACAUCGGUUUUGCUGUCUUCGGCAUCUUCUUUAAACACGGUUACGCGGCAGAUAUUGUGACAUUCAACACUCUUCUAAAAGGGCUCUUUUUAGAUGGUAAGGUGGCCGAGGCGGAGAAAUUGUUCAAGAAGAUUUUGAGUUUGAGACUCUGUGAGCCAGACGAUGUUACAAUUGGUACUGUGAUUGACGGACUCUGCAAAAAUGGACGUGUUCAUACUGCCCACGAUUUGCUUUGCUUAUUGGAAAAGACUAUCUAUAAACCCGAUGUUCUGGCUUAUAACGCGGUAAUAAAUGGCUUAUGCAAGACCGGAAUGGUGGAUAAUGCACUCGAGCUGAAGUCUAGAAUGAUUGAAAAGGGCAUUUCACCUGACCUUGUCACAUAUAACUCGAUGAUUCAGGGCUUGUGCGAUUUUGGUAGAUGGAAAGAGGUCAAAGACUUACUAAAUGAAAUGGUGAAUCACAAGAUUUCGUUAGAUGUUGUUACUUUCAAUGUAUUAGUGGACUCGUUUUGCAAGGAAGGAAGUGUUAAGGAAGCUGAAGAUAUUUUGGAAGUUAUGAAGCAACAAAACAUUCGUCCCGAUAUUGUCACCUACACUGCACUGAUAGAUGGGUACUGUUUGCAAGGGAAAAUGGAUAAAGCGAAAGAAGUUUUUUAUUCCAUAACGGGUAACGGCCUUAAGCCAUGCAUUGUCACCUAUAACUCUUUAAUCAACGGGUAUUGCAAGAACGGUAAAGUGGAUGAAGCUUGGCGUCUUUUUCUCGAAGCUUCUUCUAAAGGCUUAGAACACACGGCAGUUACUUAUAACAGCAUGAUACAUGGAUUACUUGGUGAAGAAAGAAUUGCUGAUGCAUGGAAACUUUUCAAUGAUAUGGAAACUCGACAAGUACAUCCUGAUUUAUGUACUUGCAAUAUUUUGUUGGAAGGCUUGUGCAAGACUCAUCAAAUUGCCGAAGCAUUUUCGUUUCUACGGGUGAUGGAAAAUAAAGGUUUAAAUCCUAAUAUAAUCACAUACGGUAUCCUGAUUAAUGGUUUGUGCAAAGAUGGGGAAAUUGAAGAUGCAAAAAAACUUUUAAACGAACUUCCUUCCAAAGGAUUGCAACCUGAUAUUAAAUUAUAUACCGUUAUUCUCGGUUCACUUUCCCGAGAAGGGUGUGUAGACGAGGCAAAAGAUAUGCUUGUGAAAAUGGAGAGGAGUGGGUGUGCACCGGAUAGCAUGACAUACAACAUCAUUAUCCAUUGCUUGCUGAAGAAGAAAGAGGAUGACAAGGCAAUGCCAUUCUUAGAGGAAAUGCACGAGCGGGGAUUCUCAGCGGAUGCAGCUACUUCUUCCUUGUUAAUUAGUCGCCUGCAAGGAUCAAACAAAUAUGAUGUUCUUCUCGAAUUGAUUAAGAAAGUUGUACCGAAAAUAUAAAAUAACUAUUUUGGAUUAUGAGAUCAGGUGUCGGUAUUCCAUAAAUAUAUUGUAUAAUUCAUGAAUUAAUUUUUCUGAAUUUUUUUUCCGGCCGGUAAACUGCAGUUGACCGCCGGCCUCCGGCGUCGACUUUUUUAUUUUCUCUAAAUGACUGUGUUAACAACAAAAUUAUUAUUUGAGACAGUAAUAUUUAACGCCUAAUCAGUAAUAUUACUAAUAUUUCUGUCCCAAACGGUAAUAUUAAUGCAUGAGGCAGUAAUAUUACGAUCCGAGACAAUUAUAUUACGGCCAAAGACAGCAAAAUUGCAGGCCAAGACGAUAAAAUUAAUUAAUACAGUAAAAUUACUGUCUCAAACAGUAAUAUUAUGUCUCAAAUACUUAAAAUUAUUGUCUUAGACAGUUAAAUUACUUUCUCCGGGACAGUAUUUUUGUAGGUCAAGAUAGUAAUAUUAAUGAAAAUGAUUUUUUUUAAGAAAAAAAAGGUUUUCAAAUAAUUUGGUCCCUCAUGUUUCACGAAAAACACAUUUGGUCCCUCAUGUUUCAAUAAUUUAACACUUUUGGUCAUUUCCAUCAAUUUACCGUUAGUCCGUCAGUUAAGCCAGUGUUGGGCACAUGCUUGAUUCCGUUAUUACUAACGGAAAAUUGACGAAAAUGACUAAAAUUGUUGAAUUUGAACACUCAAUUCAGUAUCAAGUUAGUCGGAUACACGAGAACCGUCAUUUAUUUGAUAAAACAUUAUAAUUGAAGCAAACAUGUUAUGCUGCUACAUGCAUCCGAGCAUGAUAUAUAUUUUUGUUCUUUCUAAUUUCUCUUAUUUGUAGGGAUGAUAAUUAAAAAAAGUAACUAGUCAUUUUAGAUUUAGACAUAGCAAAACCUUGCUUAAAAUUCCAGAUGCUCGAAUACAUAAUUUACAAUUUUGGCACAACUUUCUUAAUCAUUUCCAGUAGAACAUCGUCUUUGUCCGAUCCUUGCAUGUAAUUAACAUUAACGAAGUAACUGCUUCGGCGAAUCCCCUUUUGUGCAUGUCUUCUAAGAAUGGCAUCGCCUUGUAAACAUCUUUUUUCUUCAGCAAGCAAUGAAUAAUAAUGUUGUAUGUCAUACUAUCCGGUGCGCAACCACUUCUCUCCAUUUUUAUAAACAAAUCUUUUACCUCGUCUAUGAACCCUUCUUCACACAACAAACCAAGAACGAUUAAUUGAAAUUUAAAAAAUGGAAACAACAUUAAUUGAAAUGAGGCGUUAUUUGAGGGAGAGAUUAUGAUAUGAUCCUAAAUUAUUGUGAUUUGCACACCUGCAAAUCUUUUAAUUGAUUUUCCAUAACAAUUCAAUAGGGCAAAUUUGGUAUUUUGGUACGAAAGGGUUACCUCAAAUAUGUGAUUUGAAUUUGGAUUUAUCACUCUACCAAAAUUGAACUGAGAGAUAAUAGGCUUAAUCCCACUUUGCACCCUUGAAAUGGAGCCUUUUCGCACUUUGCACCCUUGAAAAAUAAUAACAGCACUUUGCACCCCAAAACACAAUAAAACAUUCACAAUGCACCCUGAAUUGAAUAAUAAAGGCAAUUUCAUUUUUUAUUGGUUUUUUAAAUAACAAAUAUUUUUUUUCUUCAACAUCCAACCUAAUUUCGAGAGCACAAAGUGCGAAAAAAUAAAAAUGUCACAAGGAUAUUAAAAACAAUUAUAUUUAUAUUUUCUUACAAAAUAAAAUAAAAUAAACUUUUAUCACCAAAUUAUUCGAUUGAUGGAUCUUUUAUUGCAACAGGUGGAAAUAUUAGGUAAAAAUAAUUGAAAUAAAUAUAUUUUUCAGAUAACUUGAUAACGAAAUAGCUGAAUAGUUUUUAUUUCGUACAAUAUUUUUUUGUGACAAAAAAAUAUAAUUUUAAAUAUGUUGGUGAGAUGUAUUUUUAUUCUUGCACUUAUAAUUUCAAAAUAAUUGAUAACUAAAAAAAGAAAACGGAUUUGACAUUUGUCAUCCUUAAAAAUACCACUAAAAAUAUUAAAUUACCUUUAUUAGCUUUAAAAAUUCAUUUGGGGUGCAUUAUGCAUGAUUUAUUGUCUUUCAAGGGUGUAAAGUGCUAUUAAUUUGUUUCGAGGGUGCAAAGUGCUAAAACGGUAUAUUUUAAGGGUGCAAAGUGUGACUAAGCCGUGGUUUUGUCAAAUAGCCCCUAAAAAAAUUCAAUGUGUGUAUUUAGUUAGUGUAUUUAUUUUUCAGUUUUUUAAUAUACUUAUGUUCAUGGUGCAAAGUGUGAGUUAAAAAAUAUUUAAUUCCUUCAGCUAUUUUCUUGCCAUAUUACUUCAAAACUAGGGCAAAUUACAAGAAACCCUUGAGGUAAGGUUUAAUUAUGAAAAUCCUCCUUAUGUUUGUGUGAUAACAAAAACUCCCCUGAGGUAUGUCGCCGUCUUACACAAUUCCCAUACGGUGUUGGUUUUUAUGGAAUCUUUUUUAUUCCAUGGAAUAUUCCGCUAAAAAUAUCAUUUUUUCUCUUGAUGUAUUAUUGUAAGCACACUAAUUACUUCGGGGGUAAAUUGUAAUAUCUUUAAAAAACCGUAAUUAUUUUUAAUUGUAAAACUAUAAUGUAUUUCUUCCAAAUAUAAUUAUUAAAAAUAGAAAAUAUAUAUAAAAAAGGAAUUAAACAUAUCUUUCAACAUUAAAAGUUUUUAUUUGUUUUAUAUUUUUUUGUUUAUAAAUUAUGUAAGAGAGCAACAUACCUUGGGGGAAUUUUCGUAAUUAAACAAAUUAAGAGAAGGAUUUUUAUAACCAGACUUUACCUCGGGGGUUUCUCGUAAUUUACCCUUUAUUGUUUUCAAAUAAUAGAUAUUGGUAGAAUAAUACAAUUCGCAUUAGAAAAAUACUCACAGGUUCCAACCAUUUGUGCACCUAAAGAUGCAGUGACUACACGAGUAUAGAGGUGAUGAAGUAGGGAUGACAGCGGAGCGGGUACCCUCGAAAAAGUGUAAUACCAUAACCAUUACCAUUUAAUAUAGCUAAAACCAAAACCAUACAAAAACCAUUUAAAAUUUUAAUCGGAAUAGCAGAACCAUUACCAACAAUAUCCGGAUACCCGCGGAUAUCCAUUUACCAUUUAAAUUAUGGUAAUAAAAUAACUUCGGGUCCGAUAACGAUUUAAGUAACUCUCAGAAAAGAGGAAGGAAAAAAAGAAAAGAAAAAAAGAAGAAGUAAAUUAUACAAAUAUAUCCUCGCUAAAUUAUUGUUUUAUUCAUAUUAUGUUGAAUUAAAAACUAAUAUAUAUUAUACAAUAUAUAUAAAACCAGAACCAUACCAAAACCAUGAUGAUUUGGUUUUCUUUUCCCAAAACCAUUAUCAAAUCCUAAUGGUUUCGGUAGCGGGUUUUAAAUGGAGCAGAUACCCGCGGAUAGCUAGCGCAUCGGAUGUUUUUGCCAUCCCAAUGACGAAGUGAGCAUGUGCAUGUUGGCACGGCGCUUACCCAUGAUUUAUUGUUCUUACUAGUGUUUUUUUUUUGGACUCUUAGAUUAGUCCUCUCUAAACAUUACAAUAAUGACAAAAUUUGACAAAUGCAAUACAAAUUUUACAAAAUUUUAAACAUAAAAUCUCUAAUCUCUUGAGUUUGCUUUCUAAUCCAACUUGGAUUAGAUAAAUUUGGUAUCAGAUAAUAGUAUGAAUGAUUCAACGGAGGCUGCCAAAGAGAACAAUAAAUCAACUGUAAACGUACUUUUGACGAUCUUAAUAUUGAAUGUUUUCUAACCUAACUUGAAUCAUUUAAAGUGGAGGUUAGAUUUAUCGAUAAUUUAAUAAACACUGCCACAACUCACGCCCAAAAUGGGCGUGAAUCGCCUCCUUGGGUUGCAAAUUUUUUAUAAUCCAAAAUAGUUAUUUUAUAUUUAUGGUACAACUUUCUUAAUCAUUUAAGAAGAAUAUCAUCUUUGUCAGAUCCUUGCAUGUCGUUAAUUAACAUUAAUGAAGUAGCUGCAUCGACCGAGAAUCCCCUUUUGUGCAUGUCUUCUAAGAAUGGCAUUGCCUUGUAAACAUCUUUAUUCUUCAACAAGCAAUGAAUAAUAAUGUUGUAUGUCAUACUAUCGGGCGCACAACCAUUUCACUCCAUUUUUAUAAGCAAAUCUUGUGCCUCGUCUAUGAACCCUUCUUCACACAAUGAACGUACACUUGACAAUCAGGUUGCAAACCUUUGGAUGGAAGUUCGUUCAAAAUAUUUUUCGCAUCUUCAAGUUUCCCAUCUUUGCACAAACCAUUAAUCAGGAUACCGUAUGUGAUUAUAUUAGGACUUACUCCUUUAUCUUCCAUCUCCGUAGAAACGAAUUUUUUAAUUUGUAUUUGAUUCAUUUGUUUAAACGUUAUGUAACCUUCAUCUAAAAGAUCUUGUAGUUAUGAAUUUGACGUAUUUUUUUUUUUUUUUAUGUAUUUUCAAAAUUUAUCAAUCCAAAUUUUGCAAUCGGGGCAAUGUGCAACAAGAAUAAUAUUUCGAAGGAGGCAUUCACUUUUAAAAAAAAUGGAGGGGUAAAAUGCAAAAAUUAGAAAUUUACAGAGGAUGAUGUACAAUUUGCUCAAAAAACAAAUAGGGCUUGUUUGUUUGUACCGGAAUUCAAAGCACUUCUCGCACAACUGAAAGCUAGCUUCUUCUCUACCACUUCAUUUUGCAGCUGAAUUUAUCUUCAGCAAAAUCUCUGAGGAUGAGGAGUUCUGGAGUAGCUCUUGUUUGUAGAGUAAUUACUUCUAAAUCUUCUUAUGAAUUUGCAUACGCUACUUUUACUUCUUCUUUCUCUCUCCUCUGUUCCGAUUUUCACAAAAAUAGGCCCUUUUCAACUCUGCCCAGAAAAGAUUAUGAAUUAGAUGAUACUGUUUUCUUGAUUCGUAAAAUGAUGAGAAUGCGUCCACACCCUUAUGCCUCUGAAUUUAACAAACUAUUGCAAGUUAUUGCCAAGAAGAAACAAUACCCAGUUGCCCUUUAUGUGUUCGACGAAAUGCGUCAAUGGGGUGCCUCUGUGAAUGAGUACACGAUGAACAUCUUGGUUAACUGUUGUUGCCUUUCGAAACGUGUAGACAUCGGUUUUGCUGUCUUUGGCAGCUUCUUUAAACACGGUUACGAUGCAGAUGUUACGACAUUCAACACUCUCUUAAAAGGGCUCUUUUUAGAUGGUAACGUGGCCGAGGCGGAGAAAUUGUUCAAGAAGAUUUUGAAUUUGAAACUCUGUGAGCCAGACGAUGUUACGAUUCUUACUGCGAUUGACGGGCUCUGCAAAGCUGGACGUGUUCAUACUGCCCGUGAUUUGCUUUUGUUGUUGGAAAAGACUAUCUAUAAACCCGAUGUUAAGGCGUAUAGUGCAGUAAUUGAUUGUUUAUGCAAGUGCCGAAUGGUGGAUAAUGCACUCGAGCUCAAGUCUAGAAUGAUUGAUAAGGGCAUUUCACCGACUGUCGUCACAUAUAGCUCGAUGAUUCAGGGCUUGUGCGAUUUUGGUAGAUGGAAAGAGGUGAAAGUCAUCACAAGAUUUCCUUAAAUGUUGUUACUUUUAGUAUAUUAGUGGACGCAUUUUGCAAGGAAGGAAAUGUUAAAGAGGCUGAAGAUGUUUUGGAAAUUAUGAAGCAACAAAACAUUCGUCCUAAUAGUUUCACGUACUCUGCGUUGAUAGACGGAUACUGUUUGCAAGGGAAAAUGGAUAAAGCGAAAGAAGUAUUUGAUUCUAUAACGGACAACGGCCUUAAGGCAUGUAUUAUCAGCUAUGGCACUUUAAUAAACGGAUAUUGCAAGAAGGGAAAAGUUGAUGAAGCUCGGCGACUUUUUCUCGAAGCUUCUUCUAAAGGUUUAGAACACACGACAUUUACCUAUAGCAUCAUGAUACACGGAUUAUUUAGUAAAGGCAGAAUUGCUGACGGAUGGAAACUUUAUAAGGAUAUGGAAGCUCGGCACGUACGUCCAGAUUUAUGUACUUGCAAUAUUUUGUUGGAAGGCUUGUGCAAGUCACAACAAAUUGCUGACGCGUUUUUAUUUCUACGGGCGAUGGAAGACAAAGGGUUAAAUCCUGAUAUAAUCACAUAUGGUAUCCUGAUUAAUGGUUUGUGCAAAGAUGGGAAACUGGUAGAGGCGAAAAAUCUUUUAAACGAACUUCCUUCCAAAGGGUUGAAACCUAAUAUUAAAAUAUAUACCGGUAUUCUUGGUUCACUUUGCCGAGAAGGGUAUGCAGACGAGGCAAAAGAUUUGCUUGUGAAAAUGGAGAGGAGUGGGUGUGCACCGGAUAGCAUGACAUACAACAUCAUUAUCCAUUGCUUGCUGAAGAAGAAAGAGGUUGACAAGGCAAUGCCAUUCUUAGAGGAAAUGCACGAGAGGGGAUUCUCAGCGGAUGCAGCUACUUCUUCCUUGUUAAUUAGUCGCCUGCAAGGAUCAAACAA
rnacentral:lncRNA from 1 species